rnacentral:lncRNA from 1 species
AAGGCAUGUUUAUAUAAAAAAGCAGAUGUGGUAUGACUACCAAUGAGACAACCCUCCACAAGAGACUAUAUGACACAGAAAUUAAUAACUUUAGGUCACCGUAUGGCCUUCAACAAUGUGCAAAGUCCAUACCACAAAGUCAGCUAUAAAAGGCCCUUAAAUGACAAUGUAAAACGAUGAAACGAGAAAACUAACAGUCUAAUCUAUGUACAAAAAAUGAAUGAAAAACAUAAAUGUAACACAUAAACAAACGACAACCACUGUAUUACAGGCUCAUGACUUGGGACAGGCACAGAUGCCAUGCCCCUUUUCUGUCCAAAUAAAUGACCCAAUGCCCC